GAGUAAUGUCUGGGAAACUGCCUGAUGGAGGGGGAUAACUACUGGAAACGGUAGCUAAUACCGCAUAACGUCGCAAGACCAAAGAGGGGGACCUUCGGGCCUCUUGCCCUCACAUGUGCCCAGAUGGGAUUAUCUAUUAGGUGGGGUAACGGCUCACCUAUGCGACAAUCCCUAUCUGGUCUGAGAGGAUGACCACCCACACUGGAACUGAGACACGGUCCAGACUCCUACGGGAGGCAGCAGUGGGGAAUAUUGCGCAAUGGGCGCAAGCCUGAUGCACCCAUGCCGCGUGUAUGAAAAAAGCCUUCGGGUUGUAAAGUACUUUCUCCGGGGAGGAAGGUGUUGUGGGUAAUAACCCCACCAAUUGACGUUACCCGCACAAAAAACACCGGCUAACUCCGUGCCACCAGCCGCGGUAAUACGGAGGGUGCAAGCGUUAAUCUGAAUUACUGGGCGUAAAGCGCACGCACGCGGUCUGUCAAGUCGGAUGUGAAAUCCCCGGGCUCACCCUGGGAACUGUAUUCUAAACUGGGAGGCUGGAGUCUCGUAUAGGGAGGUAUAAUUCCAGGUGUAGCGCUGAAAUGCGUAUAGAUCUGGAGGAAUACCGGUGGG
rnacentral:rRNA from 1 species